rnacentral:lncRNA from 1 species
GCAUAAGCCAUCUAAGGCCCACAGAUAUUCAUUGCAUCGUUCUCUAUACCUCUCUGUAUAACGCAUAUAUUUCAUAAUAAGCUAAAAGUUUAAAUGAGUGUGGGCCAGGUCGCGGUGAGAAGCAGGACAUCAGCUCAUGGAGGCCUCCACUGGCUUAAGGUAUGCUCUCUUCACUGAUAUGGCUGUUGGAUAAGCCUAGCUUUCUAGAUGUGGUCUGGAAACAUCUGGAAAGAAAGCUAAUGUUUCAGGCAGGGAAAUAUAUACCUUGAGAAAAGGAGGCAAAGCAGGGGAAGAGAGAAAUGUAGGAGAAAACUAGCUGGAGAGCCGUGUACUAGGGAAGGCCAAGCCAGGAGGGUGGGGAGGGUGUGUGGCUAACCUGGUGAGAGGCAGAGGGCAGAGAAAGGCCACUGGGUAGAGCCACGAAAAGUCCCUGGUCAUCUCCUGGAGAGUGGCCUUGGAAUUUGUCAGUAACUCUGUCUCUUUCUCCAGAAGCACAAAGUGGGCAACAUUCUGUUGACUUAGUAAGGAGUGGAUAGAGAGGGGAAAUGGGAACCCAGGAUAAAAGAGGAACUAAAACAUGAUAAGAGCCUAGCUUGAUUUAGCCUCCUGGAAUUCCAGGCAACAAGUGCCAAGUGGAAGUUAUGAAGCUCAGCUCAUUAGAAAGGAGGCCACAGGCUGUUUCUUCAAAAGAAGCAUUUUUCUCCUCUGCUUAAGAUAGCUUUUGAUACUUUGGGAUGCUUGCAGAUAGAAAAGAUUAAAUCGCUGUUAGAAAGAGAACUGAUAAAAGUUGGGGAGGGGGAAACCAAAAUUUCAUAGUGAAUAUUUUGUAAAAGAGUUUUGUUAAGCAUGCAUCUUGCAAAAUGGAAACAACGGUUAUUAAAAUGAGUUUAUUUUAUUUUACACUUUAACAUGUGUUAUGGUUUCCAUGUGAGGUGUCCCUCAAAAGCUCCCAUGUGAGACAGUGCAAGAAGGUUCUGAGGAGAAAUGAUUGGGUGGUCAGGGUCUUAAUCAGUGGAUUAAUGCCUGAUGGGUAUUCACUGAGGUGCAACCGAAAUGGUGGGGUGUGGCUGGAGGAGGUGGGAAUUGGGGCGUGGCUUUGGGUAUAUAUUUACAUCUGGCCAGUGGAGACUCUCUCUGCUUCCCUCUGCCACACUCUCCUGCUGUGAUGUUCAGCCUCACCUCGAGCCCCAAGGAAUGGAGCCGGCCUCCUAUGGACCAAGGCCUCUUGAAACUGUGAGCCCUUGAAUAAACUUGCUCUGAUCAGAUCUUUUAGUCACAGCAGUUGAAAAAGGUAACCAAACCACCACUGAAGUCCCACAUGCGACUCUUUGUCCUCUUUGAGGGGCUGAACCGAGGGGCUGACUUUUUGGAUGGAAUUUUUCCAACAAAAGUCCAUGGUAGAAUGAAAGAACAUUUUCAAAUUCAUGUUUGACUUGGGCAGCAUAAUCACAUGCAGGGUUAUUUAAAAAAAAAAACAGAAGAAAGAAAGAAAAGCAGGGUUUUGCAAAAAAAAAAAAAUCUUUUGAGUGCUUCACCAAUUUUCUCAGAAGCGUCUCCUCUUCCUUUGAUAUUCCAGCCAUUCUCUUUCACAGUCUCUUGGUUUUCUUUGUCCUGGCUGUUUUCUUCUCUGGGCGGUGUUGACGGCUCCAACUCUCCAAACACGUACUUGUCGAAGCCUUUGCUCACGACGCCAGCAGUUACUCUCAUGGACUUUAUGAAAUCCUGCCCUCCUUUUUUGUGAGAUUUGCAAUUAUACUUUGCAAUCAGUUUGCAUUGUAUUCCCAGUGUAUUGAUCAUCUGUCAGCCCAUGAGAUGGAGCGGCAGUGAUGUGGAUGGGACAGAAUCAGCCCCGCUGUGACAGGGAGGGGAAUGUUACCGAAGGAGGACUAAUGUGAUGAGUGGAGACCU